GCAUCGGUACGCUUCACAGCCUGGACAUCAUUGGCAGGACACGAUACUUUCUUGUAAUAAUUUAUCCACCUAGUUGCUUGAGAAGUAAGUACAUUUCAUAAACUCAUUGGCAAGGCGGCUUUCGGACAGGAAGUUGAUAGCCCAACUGACGCACUCCAGCUACCCGGAUAUUUGCCCCAUACCACCAUGACGUCCGUAAAAAUUUUAGCUAUUUUGUUGGUCGUUUCACUCACAAUAUCAGUGGUGAUCAGGAACUCAGAGGCAGGAUGCCCCGCCGCUGGAUGUAACCCCGAACUAUACGGAUCAAGGUGGGGAAAAAGGUCGUACCAAAUUUCAGACAGGUUCAGGGAGGCAAUAAAAAGACUGUCAGAAAAAAGGAAAUUUGAGCAAUUUUUAGCUGGCCUCGAAGACGAAGGAUUAGAUGACGAUGAUCAACCAUGAUAAGAAUACCGACAAUUCUGCUACGUAAUAUAUCUUCUGUAUAAAAUAAAAACAAUUUGUGGAGCUCUCUACCAUGUUUCUUGUGAUGUUCUCGUCAACAUAGAUAAUUGUACGAAUACUGAACAACCGGGUGACUAUGAAUUGAAGAUGGGAUUCAAUAUAGUCAAUAUGUUGCCACAUCUGCGACAACUAAUACCACCACCACUACAACUCACGAGUCAUCUUAGUUACGUGUUUCUUUGAUACUAUUCACAUUCUUUGUAUCUUUCAAAUUAUAUAUACUGUAGUGCCAGGUGAAAAAAACAACAACCUUAGUUCGUAUUUUUGCCGAAUCUUGAAAGGAAUGUCAGCAAGACUUAAUUUUUCUGUAGUAGUACAAGCUAAAAGCUGCCGUAGUUCAUGUUUUCUGUUGGUAAAUUAUAAGUACUGUACAUCAUUACUCGUAUCUUUCGAAGAGUACCCACACAAUAUAUAUUUGUAUGGGACAUCCUGCCCAUAUCGUCACUAGCAGUUUUAAAUUUUACGAUUUUACAGUCGACCAAAACAAUCACUUAUUUAAUGUUUCCCCGAUAAGUUCUUGGAACAUGCAAGGUCAGUUUGUCAUGAUGCAUGUAAUACUAAAUAAUAAAUUACAUUU